AGGAGGCAGCAGUGGGGAAUUUUGCGCAAUGGGGGAAACCCUGACGCAGCAACGCCGCGUGGAGGAUGAAAUCCCUUGGGAUGUAAACUCCUUUCGAUCGGGACGAUUAUGACGGUACCGGAAGAAGAAUCCCCGGCUAACUUCGUGCCAGCAGCCGCGGUAAUACGAGGGGGGCAAGCGUUGUUCGGAAUUAUUGGGCGUAAAGGGCGCGUAGGCGGUUUGACAAGUCUGAUGUGAAAUCUAUGGGCUCAACCCAUAGCCUGCAUUAGAAACUGUCGGGCUUGAGUAUGGGAGAGGUGAGUGGAAUUUCCGGUGUAGCGGUGAAAUGCGUAGAUAUCGGAAGGAACACCUGUGGCGAAAGCGGCUCACUGGACCAUAACUGACGCUGAGGCGCGAAAGCUAGGGGAGCAAACAGGAUUAGAUACCCCGGUAGUCC
rnacentral:rRNA from 1 species